CUUCCCUGCCUUUGCAAUUCUAGGAAUUUUCAAAGAAUGAUUUGGUCCCUUUGGGAAUUCAAAACCAGGUGUUGCAUGGCUGUCGUCAGCUCGUGUUGUGGAAUGUUGGGUUAAGUCCCGCAACGAGCGCAACCCUUUUCCUUAGUUCCCACCAGGUUAGGUUGGGAACUCUAAGGAGACUGCCGGUGACAAACCGGAGGAAGGUGGGGAUGACGUCAAGUCAUCAUGGCCCUUACGGCCUGGGCUACACACGUGUUCCAAUGGUAGGUACAAAGGGUGCCCAACCCGCGAGGUGGAGCAAAUCCCAAAAACCCGUUCUAAGUCCGGAUUGGAGUCUGCAACUCGACUCCAUGAAGUCGGAAUCGCUAGUAA
rnacentral:rRNA from 1 species